rnacentral:misc_RNA from 1 species
GAUGAAGAACGUAGCGAAAUGCGAUAAGUAGUGUGAAUUGCAGAAUUCAGUGAAUCAUCGAAUCUUUGAACGCACAUUGCGCCCAUUAGUAUUCUAGUGGGCAUGCCUGUUCGAGCGUCAUUUCAACCCCUAAGCACAGCUUAUUGUUGGGAACCUACGGCUUCGUAGUUCCUCAAAGACAUUGGCGGAGUGGCAGUGGUCCUCUGAGCGUAGUAAUCUUUUAUCUCGCUUCUGUUAGGUGCUGCCCCCCCGGCCGUAAAACCCCCAAUUUUUUCUGGUUGACCUCGGAUCAGGUAGGAAUACCCGCUGAACUUAAGCAUAUCAAUAAGCGGAGGA